GACAGAGGUGCCGAGCGUUAGGCGGAAUCACUGGGCUUAAAGCGUGUGUAGGCGGAUCCGUAAGUACCUUGUGAAAUCCCACGGCUCAACCGUGGAACUGCUUGGUAUACUGCGGGUCUUGAGCCACCUAGGGGCGAGCGGAACAAGUGGUGGAGCGGUGAAAUGCGUAGAUAUCACUUGGAACGCCAAUGGUGAAAACAGCUCGCUGGGGGUGUGCUGACGCUGAGACACGAAAGCCAGGGGAGCAAACGGG
rnacentral:rRNA from 1 species